UUUUUAUCUUGCUAAUUUAUAUGCUUUAUAUAAAAAUUAUAUCUCUAAAUAAAAUUCAAGAAAGUCUGAGGUAUAUUCUUCAGCCAUAUCAAGUGUCUACUCUCAUCUUCCAAAGGUAAGGCAUUGUCUAAUGCACAACAAAAUUAUUUUAUAACUACUUCUGAUUCCUAAUAUCAAAAUAUGGGUUUUACAGUGAGUACUUUCACCUCAAAUAAUUUUUUUGCUGCCAAAAUAACUUUUUAAUAGCAACAUGUUACUACUUCUAUAGUGUACAAUGCAAACUAACCUCUAAGAAGAGCUAAAACAUUUCCUGUUUAUCUAAAUAUAAAUUCCUCUCUCAUAGGUAACACAGACAACAUAGCUUAAGCUAGGAUGACUUAUGCAAAGACACAAGACUGAAUUCAACAUUUUAGAGGGUUUUAAAAAAAUACUUUUUAAUCAUAAUUUCAAAAAUUAAAUUGUCUGAAUUUUACACCAUUUUAAUGGAAUGGUUUGAUAUUAUACAUUGGUCUGAGUUUCUUUGUGGCUGUUAUGAUUUGAAUAUGAAGUAUCCCCCAAAGCUUUUAUGUUAAUACAGUAAUGUUCAGGGUGAAACGAUUGGAUUACAGGAGCUGUAGUCACUCAUCCUAGUUUGAAUGGACUGACUGGGUGGUAAAUGUAGAGAGGUGGAGUGUGGCUGGAGAAUGUGGGUCAUUGGGGAUGUGCCCCAGAAGAGCAAGAGGGUAUGGCCCCUUCAUGCACUCCUGCUUCCUUGCUGUUUUGAGGGACCAGUUUCCCUCUGCCCUGCGUUUCUCCAUGAUAUUCUGCCUCACCUUGAGCUCAGAGCAAUGGAAUCAGCCAUGUAUGGACUGAGUCACCUGAUACCAUGAGUAAAAGUAAACUUUUCCUACUCUGAAUUGUUCUGGUCACGUAUCUUAGUCACAGGAGCAGAAAGCUAACUAAAACAGUAGCCGUACUCCAAAAAAUCAUGAGAAGCUCAAAUACUUUUCAGUCAUUCUUGCCAUUCCUAAGGAGUUGGCUUCAUUCAUAAGGUCUCAAAUGACUCACCACUAAGUCACAUCUCUACCAUCAGAAAGAAGUAAAGAAGGGAACAACAUGUCCCAUCUCCUUAAACCCAGAAACUGCACACAUUACACCUAGUUACAUCUUAUUGUCCAGAAUUCAGUCACUCUACUUACAAGGAAAACUGGAAAUACAAUCUUUACUUCUACUGUGGAAGAUGUCAAGGGAUGGUCACGAUGUCUGCCAACAGAAAGCAAUUUUAAAUGUCAAAAAGUAUAAGUCAGGGCAGGGGUUGGUGCUCAGUAGUACAGCACUUGCCUAGCACAUGUGAGGCACUGGGUUGGAUCCUUAGCACCACCUAAAAAUAAAUAAGUAAAAUGAAGGUAUUGUGUCCAUCUACAACUAAAAAAUAUAUACAUAAAAAAGAAAGUAAAUUUUUUAGAUACUUUAUUUUGAUGAUUAUUCAUGUGUUUUUAAUUCUAAAUAUAAUAAAUUUGGAAUACAUGAAGAUAAUAA
rnacentral:lncRNA from 1 species